AUGAACGCUGGCGGCGUGCCUCAUACAUGCAAGUCGAGCGCACGGACGAGAAGCUUGCUUCUCUGAUGUUAGCGGCGGACGGGUGAGUAACACGUGGAUAACCUACCUAUAAGACUGGGAUAACUUCGGGAAACCGGAGCUAAUACCGGAUAAUAUUUUGAACCGCAUGGUUCAAAAGUGAAAGACGGUCUUGCUGUCACUUAUAGAUGGAUCCGCGCUGCAUUAGCUAGUUGGUAAGGUAACGGCUUACUAAGGCAACGAUGCAUAGCCGACCUGAGAGGGUGAUCGGCCACACUGGAACUGAGACACGGUCCAGACUCCUACGGGAGGCAGCAGUAGGGAAUCUUCCGCAAUGGGCGAAAGCCUGACGGAGCAACGCCGCGUGAGUGAUGAAGGUCUUCGGAUCGUAAAACUCUGUUAUUAGGGAAGAACAUAUGUGUAAGUAACUGUGCACAUCUUGACGGUACCUAAUCAGAAAGCCACGGCUAACUACGUG
rnacentral:rRNA from 1 species